UAAGGAAUAUUGGACAAUGGUCGCAAGACUGAUCCAGCCAUGCCGCGUGAAGGAUGAAGGCCCUAUGGGUUGUAAACUUCUUUUGUAUGGGAAAAAACCUCUCUACGUGUAGAGAGCUGAUUGUACCAUAAGAAUAAGGAUCGGCUAACUCCGUGCCAGCAGCCGCGGUAAUACGGAGGAUCCAAGCGUUAUCCGGAUUCAUUGGGUUUAAAGGGUGCGUAGGCGGAAUGAUAAGUCAGUGGUGAAAGCCUGCAGCUUAACUGCAGAACUGCCAUUGAUACUGUCAAUCUUGAGUACAUUUGAUGUGGGCGGAAUGUGUCAUGUAGCGGUGAAAUGCUUAGAUAUGACACAGAACACCGAUUGCGAAGGCAGCUCACAAAACUGUAACUGACGCUGAGGCACGAAAGCGUGGGUAUCAAACAGGAUUAGAUACCCCCGUAGUCCCUGAGCGGGCUGGCAAGGCGCAU
rnacentral:rRNA from 1 species